AGGGCUGAAGCUCAGUGGUAGAGCGUUUGUCUGGUGCGUUUAAGGCACUGGGUUCGAUCCUCAGCAGCACAU
rfam:Ictidomys tridecemlineatus contig035524, whole genome shotgun sequence.